rnacentral:rRNA from 1 species
GUGUCAGCCGCCGCGUAAUACGGAGGGUGCAAGCGUUAUCCGGAUUUACUGGGUUUAAAGGGUGCGUAGGCGGGUCUUUAAGUCAGUGGUGAAAUCCUCCCGCUUAACGGGAGAACUGCCAUUGAUACUAUUGAUCUUGAAUUCAGUUGAGGUGGGCGGAAUGUGUCGUGUAGCGGUGAAAUGCUUAGAUAUGACACAGAACACCGAUUGCGAAGGCAGCUCGCUAAACUGACAUUGACGCUGAGGCACGAAAGCGUGGGGAUCAAACAGGAUUAGAUACCCCAGUAGUCC